rnacentral:rRNA from 1 species
UGAUAUGAACCGUUAUAACCGGCGAUUUCCGAAUGGGGAAACCCAGUGUGAUUCGUCACACUAUCAUUAACUGAAUCCAUAGGUUAAUGAGGCGAACCGGGGGAACUGAAACAUCUAAGUACCCCGAGGAAAAGAAAUCAACCGAGAUUCCCCCAGUAGCGGCGAGCGAACGGGGAGGAGCCCAGAGCCUGAAUCAGCAUGUGUGUUAGUGGAAGCGUCUGGAAAGGCGCGCGAUACAGGGUGACAGCCCCGUACACAAAAGCGCAUGUGCUGUGAGCUCGAUGAGUAGGGCGGGACACGUGGUAUCCUGUCUGAAUAUGGGGGGACCAUCCUCCAAGGCUAAAUACUCCUGACUGACCGAUAGUGAACCAGUACCGUGAGGGAAAGGCGAAAAGAACCCCGGCGAGGGGAGUGAAAAAGAACCUGAAACCGUGUACGUACAAGCAGUGGGAGCACAGGUUUACCUGUGUGACUGCGUACCUUUUGUAUAAUGGGUCAGCGACUUAUAUUCUGUAGCAAGGUUAACCGAAUAGGGG